rnacentral:rRNA from 1 species
UACAGAGGGUGCGAGCGUUGUCCGGAAUCACUGGGCGUAAAGGGCGCGUAGGCGGCUUGAUAAGCGUGCGGUGAAAGCCCGGGGCUCAACCCCGGGUCGGCCGUGCGAACUGUCGAGCUGGAGCACUGUAGAGGCAGGUGGAAUUCCUGGUGUAGCGGUGGAAUGCGCAGAUAUCAGGAGGAACACCGAUGGCGAAGGCAGAUCUCUGGGCCGUAACUGACGCUGAGGAGCGAAAGCAUGGGGAGCGAACAGG